rnacentral:rRNA from 1 species
GACGAACCGUGCGAACGUUAUUCGGAAUCAUUGGGCUUAAAGGGCGCGUAGGCGGCUCGGCACGUCCGUUGUGAAAUCGCCCGGCUCAACUGGGCGGGGUCAGCGGAUACGGUCGAGCUUGAGCAAGCUAGGGGGUAAUGGAAUUCCCGGUGUAGUGGAGGAAUGCGUAGAUAUCGGGAGGAACACCAGUGGCGAAGGCGGUUACCUGGGGCUUUGCUGACGCUGAUGCGCGAAAGCGUGGGGAGCGAUCCGG